GGAUUAGAUACCCUGGUAGUCCACGCUGUAAACGAUGAAUACUAGGUGUUGGGGGCGAAGCCCUCAGUGCCGCAGUUAACACAUUAAGUAUUCCGCCUGGGGAGUACGAUGGCAAGAUUAAAACUCAAAGGAAUUGACGGGGGCCCGCACAAGCAGCGGAGCAUGUGGUUUAAUUCGAAGCAACGCGAAGAACCUUACCAAGGCUUGACAUCCUAAGAAUCCUAAAGAGAUUUGGGAGUGCCCUUCGGGGAACUUAGAGACAGGUGGUGCAUGGUUGUCGUCAGCUCGUGCCG
rnacentral:rRNA from 1 species